rnacentral:rRNA from 1 species
GAACUGAAGAGUUUGAUCCUGGCUCAGAUUGAACGCUGGCGGCAUGCCUUACACAUGCAAGUCGAACGGAAACAGGUUAAGCUGUCGAGUGGCGAACGGGUGAGUAAUACAUCGGAACGUGCCCAGUAGUGGGGGAUAGCCCGGCGAAAGCCGGAUUAAUACCGCAUACGACCUACGGGUGAAAGCGGGGGACCGCAAGGCCUCGCGCUAUUGGAGCGGCCGAUGUCAGAUUAGGUAGUUGGUGGGGUAAAGGCCUACCAAGCCGACGAUCUGUAGCUGGUCUGAGAGGACGACCAGCCACACUGGGACUGAGACACGGCCCAGACUCCUACGGGAGGC